ACUCYUACGGGAGGCAGCAGUGAGGAAUAUUGCGCAAUGGGCGAAAGCCUGACGCAGCGACGCCGCGUGGGGGAUGAAGGCCUUCGGGUUGUAAACCCCUUUCGGGAGGGAAGAUGGGACGGGUAACCGUUCGGACGGUACCUCCAGAAGCAGCCACGGCUAAYUYUGUGCCAGCAGCCGCSGYMMSMCMGAGGUGGCAAGCGUUGUUCGGAUUUACUGGGCGUAAAGGGUGCGUAGGUGGUUAGGUAAGACCUGUGGGAAAGACCUGGGCUUAACCCAGGAAGGUCSCAGGUGACUGCUUGGCUAGAGGGCGGGAGAGGAGAGCGGAAUUCCCGGUGUAGCGGUGAAAUGCGUAGAGAUCGGGAGGAAGGCCGGUGGCGAAGGCGGCUCUCUGGAACGUUCCUGACACUGAGGCACGAAAGCGUGGGGAGCAAACAGGAUUAGAUACCCUGGUAGUCCACGCCCUAAACGAUGGGUACUAAGUGUCGGCGGGUUACCGCCGGUGCCSCACCUAACGGAGUAAGUACCCCGCCUGGGGAGUACGGCCGCAAGGUUGAAACUCAAAUGAAUUGACGG
rnacentral:rRNA from 1 species